UGGGCGGGGGGGGGGGGUUCUCAAAGGGGCUCUCGCUCGGCGCGGCCAUGGAGGCGGACGGGAGCCAGGCUACCUCGGGGAGCCCCGGAGAGGCGCAGCACGACCCCGGCAAGAUGUUCAUCGGCGGCCUCAGCUGGCAAACCUCACCAGACAGCCUUAGAGACUAUUUUAGCAAAUUCGGAGAAAUUAGGGAGUGUAUGGUCAUGCGGGACCCCACCACCAAGCGCUCCAGAGGCUUCGGGUUCGUUACGUUCGCGGAUCCGGCGAGUGUAGACAAAGUCCUGGCUCAGCCGCACCACGAGCUGGACUCCAAGACGAUUGACCCUAAAGUUGCGUUUCCCCGACGAGCACAGCCCAAGAUGGUCACAAGAACAAAGAAAAUAUUUGUAGGUGGAUUAUCGGCUAAUACAGUAGUGGAAGAUGUGAAGCAAUACUUUGAACAGUUUGGCAAGGUAGAGGAUGCCAUGCUAAUGUUUGACAAGACGACCAACAGGCAUAGAGGAUUUGGCUUCGUAACCUUUGAAAAUGAAGACGUGGUUGAAAAAGUCUGUGAAAUUCAUUUCCACGAAAUCAAUAAUAAAAUGGUAGAAUGUAAGAAAGCACAACCUAAAGAAGUGAUGUUUCCACCAGGGACGAGAGGAAGGGCACGUGGGUUGCCGUACACCAUGGACGCUUUCAUGCUAGGGAUGGGAAUGUUGGGUUACCCGAAUUUUGUUGCAACGUAUGGCCGAGGAUAUCCUGGAUUUGCCCCAAGUUACAGUUAUCAGUUCCCAGGUUUUCCUGCAGCGGCUUAUGGACCAGUAGCAGCGGCAGCCGUGGCGGCAGCAAGAGGAUCAGGUAGGGGGGCCCGUGGAAGAGCAAACCCUCAGAGUGCAGGGUCAGGUAAAAGCUCUGUCGGUAUUCUGUGUGGCUGCAGCUCUCCAUCAUUUCUCUGAUUUUCCUCACACUUAUCCUGGGGACCUGAAAAAAACGAAUCAAAACAAAAAAAAAAUUAGAGGAAAAAAUAAGUAAUCAAUCCCAACCCAAACCCAAACUACAAGCAGAGGCCACGGGGGCUGGAGCACCUGCAGGAGAUUGGCAUGAGAACUGCCAAAACCAGGGUAGAUAUUCCAAUUUGUUUCUUCCUUUAUUCCUUUAUUGCGUUGGUUUAUUUGUUUGUUUGGUUUAAAUUCGAGGCUCUAAAAAACACCCCAAAAAAGAUCAAUUUGUGUUUUCGGAAAAAAAGUUUUGGUUUCUCACAGGAAGCUGGGGUUGGGUUGAGGUGGUGGCAGCGGCUCUGGGCGCUCCCGCCGUGCCCGGAGCUGCUGUCAGCUCCUGCAGCAUGGCCAGCACGGCACCCCCAUGGCGAGGGGCCGUGUCCCUCGGGCUGGCAUCACCGGUGCCAUCGGCACCAGCACACGGCUCACAGUUCGCCAUCCCUGCCUGCUCCAACCCCGCUGCUUCCAUGAGGAGCCACAAAGCUUUUCUUCUGUCCUCCUGAAAACUUUUUACUUUUUGUUUUCCCCUUAAGGGAAGUAAAGAAAUGAAUUGUUGCCAAUUGCCGUUACUGCCUUAGGUUUAAAUUUUGCUAGGGACGCGAAUCAGCGCUUUGCUCAGGCGGCAGAGUUCAGAGCAGCCCUGAGCGAGCCGCGGGUCCCACGGCAGGCCCGUGUCCUCUGUCCCAGCGUGUCCCCGGAGGACACGGGGCUGGCAGCACUCCCAGCUCGCUCAGGGCUGAGCUGGGGGCUCUCGGUGGCUUUCCGGGCAGUGCCGGGGGUUUUCGAGGCUCUCCCGAAAAGCCCCGAGUGCGUGAGGGAGAAGGAGGUGGGCGCAGGCCCAGCGAGAGCCUGGGGCCGUGGAGGCCAGAGAAAGACACUAGGAGAACUCCGUUCCAUGCAAACUGGCACUGCUUGCAGGCUACAAAGGACUCUCUGUUCCAGUUCCAUCCUGUGGCAUGUAGAGAGCGCCUAAGGGGUGACUUGCCAGCCUGGUUGUGGGGAUCCCCCAACUCCAGCUUCUCCUACUGCCCCGCCACAGAGGGGGAAAAACAAACCCAAAGAGGGGGAAAAAAAAAAAUCCCAAACCCAAACAAAUCCCAAGAUUGCUUUUGCAUAUGCUUCCAGGAAAACAGACCUCAUUGUUUCUGCCUCUUCCUCAUGUUUUGCCCUUCAGGUUUUGUUUUACGUGCAAACAGACCUGGUGAGUUGCCCCUUAGCAAGGCACAGAGGGUUUGGCUGGAUUAACGUUGCUUCCCUGAUUAUUAUUUUUUUUAAUCGGAGUGCUUUUGGUGCCCAUUACAACUGAACUGAGCAUUGAUCAAUUCUGUGCCUGAAAAUCAUUUGUCUUUAAUUUGAGUGUUUUUUGGUUUCUCUUUUGUUGGGUUUUCUGAUUUGUUUUUUCAGUUUUUUUGUUUUUUGAUUUGAACUUGCAAUACGAAACUAAAUCUAACCCUAAAUUAACAGCACCCUUUCUGGCAAGUUUAAAGAGCAGUAUGGUGUUUGGAAAUGUCUUUUCAAGCCUCAAAAUUGCCUGGUGCACAAAACUGGCAAAAACCCCAAAACUGAAUCCAAAGAGCCCCCGUCCCGCCCCGGCCCUGAAGUCUCAAGGAGGAAGGUGGGUUUGUCUCCGGCCCUGCUCACAUCUGCACCAAGCCGUGGUCUGGGAACGGGGCGUUUCCGUAGAGUCAUCUCCAUCCAAAGCUGGUUCUGGAAGGGACAUCCUGGGUUUGCCACUCCAUCAGCAAUGGUAGUGAAUUGUAUCCAGGAGCAGUGGAGUCCGAUCGAUCUUGCGCUGCAGUGUACGGGCCCGAUUCAUUACAAGAAAAAUGGCUGGGGUUUUUUCCUUCUUUGCUUUUCAGUUGGGUUUUUGUUUUCCCUUCCCAAAUUCGCACAGCCCUCCUUCACGCGUGCCUGGUCCAAAGCACAGAGCACAGCACAGCUGGCCCUAACUGGCCCCUUUCUGCCAGGAAAUGGGAAAGAGCUGGGAAACACCUGGGCAGGCACGUCCCACCACCCCCAGCUCACUGGGAGAGCUCUGCCCAGGGCUGCUGGAGCAGAGCACAGAGCAAGCAUUGUCCAGGAGGUUCCUGGAAAGCAUUGGUGCCAAUCCAUGGCAUCAAUGUCCCCAUCACUGCUGCCUCUUCAGCAGCUCUCCAGCCCCGUCCCGCUGGCUCUUCCCCACCUUCCUGGCAUCAGUGCCAGCACGGAGACUGAGCACCCUCAUGGAGCAUCCACCUUCAGGUGCGUGUCUUGGUCUCCCCAGGAAGCUGCAGCCCUCUCACUCCAAGCCCCUGGGCACUGACCACCUUGGUUUGUCCCUGGGGUGACAGUCCUCCUCUUGGCACACCUGCAUGUUUGCUGAGUCGGCAGGGAGCCUGCUGGGUGCAGGUACCUGCUUGGGGCCUCCUCCCUGCCCUCACCCCUUCUUUUUCUAUGGCAGCGUGUCACCAGCUGACCUUGCUAGAUAAACAGGUUCUUCUGUGUCAUAGCAGGUCUGUCCUACAACCAGCAGAAAGGGACAUGUCCCUGUCCCCGUGCUCAGUGCCACCAUAAAUUGACGUCCCGCGUCGCUGCUCGCGUGCCGGCAGGGUGAGCGCGGCCGUGCUGCUCGGCAUCAAUCACGUCCCCAGUCGACAUCCCAGUGAUGAGGUGAUAGCUGAGGUCCUUCCAGCAGACAGAGGUCUGGCCACAUCCCUUCGCUCUGGGUGGGGCUGUGCUGCCGAGUUCCUCCACUGGUUUUGACAACCUCACCCAUUCUUGUAUUUUUUUAAUGAAUUGGGACCUGAGCCACGGAAAACGAGCAAAGUUAAAAGUCCGAAUGCUGCAAACUCCUCCUAGACAACUUCACUAUCAGUGUCACAUUUCUUUUGAAUCCACCUGACAUAUUUUACGUGUAAAACAUUUUUGUCGUGUAAAUGCUUUUUUUAAAAUACAGUCAUGGGGGGGGCACAUUUUUCUCUUGCAUUUGACAUGGGAGGGGUUCAUCUGGCAGGAGAGAGAGACGAGGAAAAUUUGGCAGGAGAGGGGUUUCGUUCCUUCCUCUUUGGUUCAUUGACAAGCCUUAGAUGUUUCCAGUUCCCGACCUGUUGCUACCAACUGUUCCUCCCUGAGGACUGGAGGCAAAACCCCUUAGGCCACCCUAAUCCAGCCCUGCCCAGCUCCCUCGGGCAGGCUUUGCCCGCCGAGCCGGCCGGCGGCACUCGGCGCAGUGGGACAGCGCAGUGCCACGGCGCCAGGGGCUGCUCCCACCCCAACCCCUGGCACAUCUGCAUUUUGGGCCCCAGUCCCGGCUUGCCAGUGCUGCCUUUGAGCCCUGCGCCCCAACAACCCCUUACUGGACUUUAUACUUGCCAGCUAUAACAAAUCUCAUAACGUGAGCUACUGACCUUGAUGGUGAGUGUGAGCAGUUAUGUUUUGUUGUUUUCUCUCUUGCUUGGUUGGGGCUGCUGUGAGAGAGGGUGUCUCUGAGGCAAACUUUCCGGCCUCUCUUACACUCGGACGUGCACACCUCCUCUCAAACACUCUUCUGAGCGCUCUCAGCGGGAAGUCUUGAAUAGCUACAGUGCUCAACCGAAUUUUGGCGCACCCGCUUCCCCGGCAGGCUCCAACCCAGCGCGGCCCGGAGGCUUCCCCGGGGCCAACAGCCCCGGGCCCGUCGCGGAUCUCUACGGCACGGCCAGCCAGGACUCCGGCGUGGGUAACUACAUAAGCGCCGCCAGCCCGCAGCCGGGCUCCGGCUUCGGACACGGCAUCGCCGGACCUUUGAUUGCAACGGCUUUUACAAAUGGAUACCAUUGAAACGUUACACAUGGUUGGUUGCCAUCUCACUUGGAGAGUCUCUCUGGAUGUCCGGGCAAGACAGGGCGAAGUUUCUGAAGGGGCCCACGGUUGGGUGAUCUCGUCAGACUUUGAGCACUACAUCAUCAUCAUCAUCUUCAUCACCAUCACCGCCAACGCAAACUGGAGGUGGCACUCGAAGGACUUGGGUUGUUUAAAAUCUCUCUCAUCAUCUCAUGAAUCUGCUGUACUAUAAAAACAACAGCCUUUAAAAGUAUGUAUAUAAAACCCAUUUCUUGUUCGUUUUAUUUUCUCGAUGGGUUCCCCCCCCUCUUUUUAAACCUCUCCAAACCCACAUCUUUUCGUAGCCUUUUUGACAUAGUCUCGUAGCCACGUAGUCAGAAUUCUUUGUGUAUGUAGCGAGAGGCUAACCAUAGUGUAACUGUUAUAUUAAGGGGUUUCUUUUGCUUUUUCUUUCCCACCUCCUUUCCUCCUCCUCCUCCUCCUCCUCCUCCUCCCUUCUGUUUUACGUAGUUGUUGUUGCUUAAAGGAUGCUGAGAUGGUGACAGGAGCCUCGGCCGCGGGGGGAGCGGAGCCGGCGGCGGGCGCAGCACGGGGGGCUGGCAGGGCACGGGGAGGGGGGAGCAACAGGUUCUCUGGCCCUUCUUUUCCUUUGUGGCGUCUUGGUUCCUCUAAUUCUCUCUAUUUUCGGCAAUAAGGCGAGGGCGACAAACUUUUUGCGCGUCCUUUUUCUAUAUAAGUGCUUUUUUUUGUUGAAAGAGGUGAUAUAAAGGUUUUUUAAAAUCGCGACUUCUGGAAAAAAAAAAAAAAGAAAAAAAUAAUAAAAUGCUGUAAAUACAAUUCCAUUAACUACAUAGAAACUAUUAAGAAAGAGAAAGACAAACCUAUUUUUGUGACGGAGUCAGCCUAAGGCGGUUUCUCUAUGGAAAUGGAUGACAAAGACAAGGAAGCUGUAGCUCGGAGCGCCUGCCGGAGCUGGCCCGGGGGGUCGUGACGCUCUGGGACCCCCCAGCUCAUCCCAGCAGCUUCACCUCCGACGUGCACAGCUUGCAAAGGAACAGUCUAGUGGUAUUUUUAUUUUAAUUUAAAACCUGCUUUUCCCAAAACUGAUCAAGAAGCUACGAUUUUUCCUACUUAGCACAUUUACGGUUCAAAGCAUACCUUUAUUUUGGUGGUUUUUUUUGGAUUUUUUUUUUUUUAGUCAUUGUUUUAAACUAGAUCAACUUGCUGUCCAGUCAUUUCAGCUGCUCUGGGCACCCCAUGUGGGCAGAGCAGCGUCCAGCUUGCAUGGUUUCCUUUAUUAUCCAUCAUUUUCUGUAUUGUCAAAUUAGAAAGCAACUUCGGUUGGUUUUGAGUUAUUUUUUCUUUUUUUUCUUUUUUUUUUUGGGAAUACCUCAGUGCUACAAGUUUCACCCUAGAAGCAACGGAAGAUUUUAAUUUAUUGUAGUUGUAAACAGAAUUUAAAAGAAAUAAAGUAUAAAACAUCAUUGCACUGUGACUGGUAGGGGAAAAACUGACAGUUUCCUAUUUGCACAUGUUUAAUAUUUGGCUGUUAUAUAUAUGGUCCUCUGUUGGGGGAGGAAACUUAUGAAGGAUAUUUUUUAAUUUAAUUUUUUUAAUAUUGGUAAAUAGGCCUGCAACAGCAAACUAGAAGUACAACAUGGUAGGUGGCAUUAAGAACAUACUGUAGUGUGGAUAUAUUUCUUCUUUUUUUAACGUAAUAUUGACAAGUUUUAUUAAUAUUUUUUUAAAUUGUUACGUUUAUAAAUUUGGUACUUUAGGUACAGCCAGUAUAAGACACUGAAUGCGACAUUUGUUAAAAAGAGCUGCUGCACUCCUAUUUUUGUAAAUUUUACUAACAAGUAGACUAAUGUAGACAUUCAAUAGACAAGGUAGAGCAAGGCAUCUUUAACAAAACAAGGCACCAUACUGCUAACCGAAAGGAGAAACCUUGUUUUUCUUGUUUUUAAAAAAAAUCAUGCUUUUUAUGUAAUAUUUUAGGUUUUUUUCUUAUUUCAGAACAACCAGGUUUAAGCAAAAUGCUGGACGCUUUUUAAAUAUUGAGACUUGAUCAAGUAAUAAAAGAAAUAAAACCGAAUUCUUUAAAAAAUAAAAAGGUAAAAAAAAAAAAUACUACGAACCAAAUUCCCUGCGAUUCAGUGUGCCGUCAGGGAAUUUUUUAUUGCUAUUUUGUCAAUGUUGAUGAUGUACUGUACUACCAGUUGGUUUUCCUCUCCAUUCCCUGUCACCUCAUAGAAUAUUCUUUGUUGAUCAUUGUUGUAUGUUAAUAGUGUAUAAAAUGGCUUAUCUUGUAA